rnacentral:rRNA from 1 species
AUUGAACGCUGGCGGCAUGCCUUACACAUGCAAGUCGAACGGCAGCACUGGAGCAAUCCUGGUGGCGAGUGGCGAACGGGUGAGUAAUAUAUCGGAACGUGCCCAGUCGUGGGGGAUAACGUAGCGAAAGCUACGCUAAUACCGCAUACGAUCUAUGGAUGAAAGCGGGGGAUCGCAAGACCUCGCGCGAUUGGAGCGGCCGAUAUCAGAUUAGGUAGUUGGUGAGGUAAAGGCUCACCAAGCCGACGAUCUGUAGCUGGUCUGAGAGGACGACCAGCCACACUGGGACUGAGACACGGCCCAGACUCCUACGGGAGGCAGCAGUGGGGAAUUUUUGGACAAUGGGCGCAAGCCUGAUCCAGCAAUGCCGCGUGCAGGAUGAAGGCCUC